rnacentral:SRP_RNA from 1 species
GCCAGGCAUGGUGGCGUGUGCCUGUAGUCCCAGCUACUUGGGAGGCUGAGGUGGAAGGAUCUCUUGAGCCCAGGAGUUCUGGGCUGUAGUGUGCUACGCCCACCAGGUAUCCGCAUUAAGUUUAGCAUCACGGUCCUUUUGGGAGCCGGGGACCACCAGGUUGCCUAAGGAGGGGUGAACCAGCCCAGUUUGGAAACAGAGCAGGUCAAAACUCCCAUGCUGAUCAGUAGUGGGAUCGCGCCUGUGAAUAGCUGCCGCACUCCAGCCUGGGCAACAUAGUGAGACACCGUCUCA